GAUGAACGCUGGCGGCGUGCUUAACACAUGCAAGUCGAACGGAGAAAGGGUAGCUUGCUAUCUUUUCUUAGUGGCGGACGGGUGAGUAACGCGUGGGUAACCUGCCCUUUGCAGGGGGAUAACAGUGAGAAAUCACUGCUAAUACCGCAUACCAACUUCUUUCGCAUGAAGGAAGUUUGAAAGAUUUAUCGGCAAAGGAUGGACCCGCGUUGGAUUAGCUAGUUGGUGAGAUAACAGCCCACCAAGGCAACGAUCCAUAGCCGGCCUGAGAGGGUGAACGGCCACACUGGGACUGAGACACGGCCCAGACUCCUACGGGAGGCAGCAGUGGGGAAUAUUGCACAAUGGGCGAAAGCCUGAUGCAGCGACGCCGCGUGAAGGAUGAAGGUCUUCGGAUUGUAAACUUCUAUCAGCAGGGAAGAAAGGGCCUAUGGCCUAUGACGGUACCUGACUAAGAAGCCCCGGCUAACUACGUG
rnacentral:rRNA from 1 species